AUAUAUUGAUCCAUAUAUUUUAAAAUAUAUGGCUGGCAAAACAAAACUGUAUUCCACUAUUCGGUCUGUAUUUCUUGAUGUUUUUAGUUCAGCAAGCACAUUUUGCACGACAUUGGACAUUUACUCGACAUUAUAAAGUCAUUUUAGGUGGACCAUAUAUGGCCAUAUAUAAUAAUAUAUUGAUCAAUAUACAGGAGUCUCUGAUUGAAUCAUCUCAGCUCUCAUAUCACGUAUGACGCGCCUACGUCACGUCGUCACAACCUGAAGCUAAAGUGGCGAGAGAGCCGUCUCGGCUCGAGCGCGGUCCGGUCCGGAUUGUAGCUCCACACAGUCGCCAGCCAGACUCCCCACCACAGUGACACAAACCAACCAGCCGCCUCGAGAGGUUGCUGAAGAGGUAUGCAGCGAUGGUCUGGAGGAAAAAAUAGUCACAUGGACUGGUGUGCAUUCCAGUACUUGAAAUGAUGCUGUUGCUCAGGCACAUCCAGGUGCGAGGAUGGGGGAGAUCCGGAUGUCGCUAAAUAAAAGAAUCUGUGAACUGCUUCACCAAGAGAAAAAGAAGUCCAUGGACAGGCCUAUGAGCCCUCUUGUUGACCUUGAGUGACUGAGGCUGCGGGCGGUCUGCCCCUGAAUUCACCUUCACUUUCACUUUUUUUUUUUUUUAAAUAUAU